rnacentral:guide_RNA from 1 species
CCAACAAACGAGAUAAUCAGUGUAUGAUAGUGAUGGAAGU